GAAUUCAACUCCUACGGGAGGCAGCAGUGGGGAAUUUUGGACAAUGGGCGCAAGCCUGAUCCAGCCAUGCCGCGUGCGGGAAGAAGGCCUUCGGGUUGUAAACCGCUUUUGUCAGGGAAGAAAUCCUUUGGGUUAAUACCUCGGGGGGAUGACGGUACCUGAAGAAUAAGCACCGGCUAACUACGUGCCAGCAGCCGCGGUAAUACGUAGGGUGCAAGCGUUAAUCGGAAUCACUGGGCGUAAAGCGUGCGCAGGCGGUCUUGCAAGACAGAUGUGAAAUCCCCGGGCUCAACCUGGGAACUGCAUUUGUGACUGCAAGGCUGGAGUGCGGCAGAGGGGGAUGGAAUUCCGCGUGUAGCAGUGAAAUGCGUAGAUAUGCGGAGGAACACCGAUGGCGAAGGCAAUCCCCUGGGCCUGCACUGACGCUCAUGCACGAAAGCGUGGGGAGCAAACAGGAUUAGAUACCCGUGUAGUCCAGGCGUU
rnacentral:rRNA from 1 species